GGAAAGGCUAUCCACUCCAGUGUUCUGGCCUGGAGAAUUCCAUGGGUUGUAUAGUCUAUGUGGUCACAAAGAGUGACUGAGCAACUUUCACUCACUCGCUCACUGGCGGCUGCAUGAGUCACAAACUCGUUGCCUGGGUGGGAUGGGAACUGGGUGAGCUGCUCCUGUGGGUGAGGGUCUCUGACCUGCAGAGUCUGCACUGUGGGGGCCCAGAACGAAUGGAGUCAGGAAUGCUGCCCACAUAGAUGAGGUGAAAGGCUGAAGUCAUAGGAGACAUGGAUUUGACCCCUGAUCUGAGAAGAUCCCGCAUGCUGCAGAGCUACUAAGCCCACGAGCCACAACCUUUGAGCCUGUGCUCUGGAGCCUGGGAGCCACAACUACUGAAGCCUGAGCAUCCGAGACAGUGCUCCCCAACCAGAGAAGCCACGGCGAUGAGAAGCUCAUGCACCGCAACUAGAGUGGCCCCCUCCCUGCAGCUAGAGAAGAGCCCGGGCAGCAGUGAAGACCCAGCAGAGCCCAAAAUAAAUACAAUUACUAAAAAAAAAUGAAGAAUACUGGAGUGGGUUGCCAUUUCCUUCCCAAGGGGAUUUUCCCGAUCUAGGGAUUGAACCCGUGUCUUGUGUAUUGCAGGCGGAUUCUUUACCACUGAGCCACCUGGGAAGCCUGCACAACUCUACCAUACUUUAGUUCAAAAUCUGUAGUUGGAAAGCUUUGAGGAUUUGCAGUCAGAAGUCCUGGAUUUAAAUCCUAGUUUGCCUCAUCACAUGUCCUAUAACCUUGGCAUGUCUUGCAACCUCUCUGAUUCUUUGUCUUUUUCAAACCUUAAUUCCUUAUUUAUAAUGUGGGGCUAAUAAUGUAUACAUGCCACACUCCUCAGGGUUGUCCUAAGAAAUAUAUAAUCUCACAUUUGAAAAGUGCUUCUGGUGGCCCAGAUGGUACAGAGUCUCCCUGCAAUGCAGGAGAUUGGGGUUCAAUCUCAGGGUUAGGCAGAUCCUCUGGAGAAGGGAAUGGCAACCCAUCCCAGUAUUCUUGCCUGGAUAAUUCCAUGGACAGAGGAACCUGGUGGGCUACAGUCCAUGAAGUCUCAAAGAGUUGGACACGACUGAGUAACUCUUUCAUUUUCGCUUAGCAUGGUGCCAGGCCCAUCAC
ensembl:lncRNA